UACGAAGGUGGCAAGCGUUACUCGGAAUUACUAGGCGUAAAGGGCAGGUAGGUGGUCUGGUUAGUCUGUUGUGAAAGCUUCCUGCUUAACGGGGAGAGGCCAACAGAUACUGCCAGGCUUGAGUAUGGGAGAGGUUACUGGAAUUCCUGGUGUAGCGGUGAAAUGCGCAGAGAUCAGGAGGAACACCGAUGGCGAAAGCAGGUAACUGGACCAUUACCGACACUCAGCUGCGAAAGCUAGGGGAGCAAACAGG
rnacentral:rRNA from 1 species